rnacentral:rRNA from 1 species
UACGAAGGGGGGGCUAGCGUUGCUCGGAAUCACUGGGCGUAAAGGGUGCGUAGGCGGGUCUUUUAAGUCAGAGGUGAAAUCCUGGAGCUCAACUCCAGAACUGCCUUUGAUACUGAGGAUCUUGGAGUACGGGAGAGGUGAGUGGAACUGCGAGUGUAGAGGCGAAAUUCGUAGAUAUUCGCAAGAACACCAGUGGCGAAGGCGGCUCACUGGCCCGUUACUGACGCU